AUCUCUAUCUCUUCUCUUCCUCACCCUCACACCACCGUCCAUCUCCCUCCUCCCUCUAACGACUUCCUCCUCUCUGUUCUGGCCUCAUUUUCAUUUUUCAUGGAAAAACCGGCAGCUCCUUCCUUUGAAAGCUGAAGCCCCUUGCAGCGCCACACGUCCACGCCUCCACUUGUGUCGGUCAAUGAAAGGAGCUGUCUUCACCGAUUGUUGACUGCCCGGCUCUGCUUCGUCCACCGUUACGUUCCCCCGCACUAAGCCAGCAUCGAAGGAGUCGCGCCAGCACAUCCAGUCAACUUCAGCUCUUCGUGGACUCUGUGCCGCGUGUCUUUCCUCUACCAGCGACCACCGAAAUUUCGGUCGAGCACCCAGCAGCUUCAUCGACGCCAAAAGCUGCUCUCCUCUCCAUAGCCACGUCCACUUCUUUUCUUCACGGCUGCCGAAGUCAAACGCCUCCAACUGCCGUGCAUCUACUGCCCAUCAGCCUAGCAACCGUUUGUGCCCCUUCUCCACCGAGUUUGUCGGCCACCGAGUCAGCCGAGUCAAGCCACGAAGCAGCAUCCACGAGCUGCCACGUCCUUGGUCAACUGCAGCUCCACCGAAUACUACAGCCCCGUGAUCUGUUUCCUCCCAUCGCACGCUCGGUCAUUUUUCACCAACGAAGACCCAAGCUGGUCUCCUUCUACCGAAGCCGAUUGCUGGUGUUGUUGACCGUGAAGCCACCUGUGCAGCAGCCGUUUGUGCACCCAUCUCCAAGCGUCUUCUUCUCCAGCAGCUCUUCUUCAGCUCGUGGACUCAUUGUCUCUCUUGCUCACGUCAACAGGCCAAGGAGCAGCCCACGGUUUGGGCCAGCAAUUCCAGUAGCUUCACGGCCCAGCAAGCCCAAGAGAAAGAGCAGCCCAUCUCCUUCAGCCCAAGAAGCUAGUGAAGCCCAGCGAAGCCUGCACAUUUGACCCAUCUGAAGACAAGCCCAGCAACUUUCCUCAGUCCAGCAAGUGGUUAUUUGCUCAGUUCAGCCCAUCUUAAAGCCCAAGAAGUUUCAGUAGCUCAGCCGCGAAGUUAGUCGGCCCAAGUUUGGCCGCCGUCAUGUCGCCGUCGCGGUUUUCAAUCUUUGCUUUGCCAAGACCUGGAUGAGAAGCCUAAGGAGCAUGAAUCUGACGAGGGGAUCAUUAUUGAGGAACCUGAAGAGGAGUACGUGGAGGAGGACCCCGAGUAUAACCCCGAGUACGACCCGGAUGAGGACUGAGAUCCCGUCCUGUCUUGUCAGUCCUUGUUUACAUGUAAAAAGUUGUAGUUGUGAAUUUUCAGUAUGAAAAAUGUAUGGCUUGCUUUUCUAUCCCA